AGAGUUUGAUCAUGGCUCAGAUUGAACGCUGCGGCAGGCCUAACACAUGCAAGUCGAACGGUAACAGGAAGAAGCUUGCUUCUUUGCUGACGAGUGGCGGACGGGUGAGUAAUGUCUGGGAAACUGCCUGAUGGAGGGGGAUAACUACUGGAAACGGUAGCUAAUACCGCAUAACGUCGCAAGACCAAAGAGGGGGACCCUCGGGCCUCUUGCCAUCGGAUGUGCCCAGAUGGGAUUAGCUAGUAGGUGGGGUAACGGCUCACCUAGGCGACGAUCCCUAGCUGGUCUGAGAGGAUGACCAGCCACACUGGAACUGAGGCACGGUCCAGACUCCUACGGGAGGCAGCAGUGGGGAAUAUUGCGCAAUGGGCGCAAGCCUGAUGCAGCCAUGCCGCGUGUAUGAAGAAGGCCUUC
rnacentral:rRNA from 1 species